rnacentral:lncRNA from 1 species
UUUUUUUUUUCUUCCUCCUCCUGUUUCUUCUUCCUCCUUUUUCUCUUUCCUUGCUUUCCCCAGCUAGUACGUAUUUUCACCUGCAAGAUAAAAACAAACAAUAUCAUGCCUUUGAUAGUAAAAAAGAUGACCAAUCUACCAUAUAACAAGAAGGAAAAAGAAAAAAAAACAUAGAAAAAUCAUCAGAAAAAAGAAAAUCUUCAAAUUGGAAACUACUUUUUCCCAUGGCAUUUGAAGAUGAUGAUGACAGAUCGAUCAUUCUGCAAUAUUAAAAGAUCCUUCUUCUGCUAAUAAUGAUCUACAGUUGUUCAAUCUCAAGAAAAACACAGAUCCAACAGGUUUCUGAUGGAGAAAUUCAUAUGAAAAAUGAGAGCAAUAUGAUAAUAAGGAAAUCUAGCAGACUGCAUACCAUAGGUGGGAAGAAGAAGGGAGGAGGUAGGGGGUGGUCUAGUCGCUGUCGCUGCUGCUGCUGCUAUGGCCAUCAUGUUCAUGGCCAUGCUCGUGCUUCUUCUUCUCCUUCUUCUUCUUCUUCUCCCCAACAGGCCCGUGUUCAUGUCCAUGUCCUUGGAUCUUCUCCAUUAUCCCUCCCUUGUGUUCACCUUGCCCAUAACCCUCUCCCUUGUGUUCACCAUGCCCAUACCCCUGACCCUCUCCUUUGUAUUCACUAUGCCCAUACCCCUGACCCUCUCCUUUGUAUCCACCAUGCCCUUGCCCCUCUCCCUUGUAUCCACCAUGCCCUUGCCCCUCUCCCUUGCGCUUCUCCUCCUCCUCCUUGCGCCCUCCCCCCAUGUGAAGGGUCUCCUCUAUCUUGUGGAUGAUUCCUGCCAUUUUUCUCUCUGUGAAAACCUUGAUCUGAUGUACACAACAAUGGACAACCAACCUCCCUUAUUUAUGGGCAUUCAUAUUCCAACUUAUCUCAACCCUUGUUUCUGAUUCAUGUUCCAUUGCAAUAUCAUGAACGUACACGUGGAUGAUAUUAAAUGCGAAUUUUCUUCUGAUUUUUCCAAGACACGCGGCGGAUCGAGACAGCAUUUCCGAUCGUCAUCUGAUUCAGUUUUUCCUGUACUCUUCCUCCUCUAUGAUUCCACGUUUUCAAAAGUGCUUUUUCCAGCGAAUACCGUGUGUCGGCACUUGGAUAAAAGUCCGCGUGACAAUGAUUUUAUUUUAGAUUUUGAUAUUGUCUCUUUUUUUCGUUCCAUCCUAAUUAUGAAUAUAAUUAAUUUUAAUUUUGGGAGAUGAAGUGGGACCCAGUUGUUCAUAUCAAAAUGACUUGUUGUUUACAUUAAAAUAAGAUGCGGAAUGGAUAAGACGGCGUGCUCAUUCAGGUGCCGACACACGGUAUUCAUAGAAAAGUGCUUUUGGAAAAGUUGGAAGCCAUCCAGAAGUUAUGAUCGGGAUGAGAAGCCACACCCUCCACCACAUCAGCCUACCAUUCCUCUCCACGUCCACAUGCAAAACCAUUUCUCCAUCCGCCGCGUGUAUCCAAAAUUGAAAUUCACAUUGGAUUGCGUCAAUUAAUUCUAUAAAUAAUUUGAAAGGUAAUAAAAAAUAAAAUAAGAGAUAUAAAGUCUCAUAUUUUUUUAAAAAUAAUAUUUUUUUUUUUAAAUAUCUCCAUGCAGGCCCACAGUAUUGAAGGGAGUCACGUGGUCACGUGAUUAUGACACCGGCAAUAAAGGAGGUACGUUGAAGUCUUCAUCUUAUCAACACCGUAUUAGAUUCACAACCCCACUCUGCUUAAUGCCUGCCCUCUGCUUUUAUGAGAGAUGGUGAGGACCACUUGUAACACUUUGCCGACAGGUUGUGUUUUGCCCGUUUCCUCUCUAUUUCAUUUCUUAAUGUUAAAAUUUAAUCUUGAUUAAAAAAAAAUUAAAUUCUAAAAAAAGGGUUUGAAAUUUCUAUAUCCAUUCCUUAACAAGUUAAUUAAAUAGAUUUAUUAUAUUUAAAAUUAUAAUAUAAAUUGUACCUUCCUUAAGAUAUGUUGGGAGUAGUAAAUUUUAGGGCUCGUUUGACUGUGAUUCAAUCUUCAAUUGGGUAGGAGACAUUUGUGUGGUAAAAUGUAUUAAUACUUGAUAAAUAAAGAAAAAUUAUAUGAAGACUUAAAGUCUAUGUUUGGAUAAAUUUCUAAUUUUUUGUUUUUGAGAUGAAAAAUCUUAUACAAAAUAUACAAGUUUUUAUAUAUAAAAAAAAUUGUUUUGUAUAAGAGUUUUUAUAUUUUCUACAAGAGUUUCUAUUUUUGAAAAUAAAAAAUUAGAAAAUGUAUCUAAACGUCUCCUAUAUUAGUUGAUCGUAGAGAAUCUAUUUUUAAAUUUUUCUUACUUGUCCCAAUCAUAAAAAUAAAAACUAGAAAAUUGGAAGUAGGGGAGGUCUUAAGAACCCUACUAUAGGGAAAGUCCGAGUUUACAUUUCCUCAUAUGCUGAGAUUUUUUUAAUUCUAUCUCAUUAUCUAGCCCUUCAUUUUUAUCUCAUUGCCUUCUUAAAAGACUUCUUACUUAAUAAGUGACACCCUUAUAUUAUUACAACUAUUAAGGUUGGGAGCCGAACUUUAGGGUUCCUACAAAGGCUAGGUGCACCUUGAUGGUAUGUUUGAUGCUUAUAUCGUCAAGUUCUUAAGAUAAGUCGAGAAUCUUGGUUUAAUAGACAAAAUUGGAGGUUCAUUGAGAUGAGAUAAACUAUGUAGUUUUAGACCACUUUGACUGAAUUAAGAGAAGGGGACCUACCACCAUCAAGCAAAACAUGUUAUCGAUAGACAAUACUCCAAGUCAAAGGCCUCUCAUUGAUGACCUAUACGACUAAUAGGGGGCAAUCUUAAACAUCAAUAUAAAGACCUAGUUAAAAAGGUUGUCAUUUGUGCAUAAAUUUGAGAGUAUUUUGGAUUUUGGCCCCUAAAAGCUUUUGACCGUCUCUCCAAGAGUCUUUUUCUAAGUGCCCGUUGUAUUUCAUUCCUACUUUAAGUUGAUUACCACUUGCUCUCCUCCAUUUUUCUUCAAGAAUUAACAACUUAACAUAUUUAUAGCCCAACUAUCUACAAAAAAACCCUCAAUCAACAUUAAAGUAACUACAGUGAGGAGUUGCAAAAAAGCGUUGAGGAAAUGUAGUGGCAUGUAGGCUCUUAUCGAAGAAUAGAAUCAUUCUUACCAUAACCAAUCCUAAGCUCUUAUUCCAAGCAAUAGCUGUAGGAAGAGUGUAAAUAAUUUUUAUUUUUAUUUUAUUUUUGGGAAGAGUCCUAUUGGGAAUUUUUUUUUUAUUUUAAUCUAUUAAUCUUAUAUUUUUGGGAAGAGUCCUAUUGGGAUUGUGCUAGUGGAGUCUCAUUCCUUUUAUAAGUAGAAUCCCCUUCCAUUUUGAGUCAUGUUCUGAUUACAAGUAGAGUCACAUUAGGACUGUAUUAGUGGCUUAUAAAAGAAGGUCACUCCUCACUCUCUGUAUAUGAAUACCAAUUUUCCAGAGAGUUUUUCAGAGAGUAUUUCCAUACAUCUAUCUGGAGGAUUUUUUGUUUUUAAAACCCGAGUUGUACACAUCUCGCUUACAAAGUGCACCCAAUGUGGGAUCUAGCUGUUGAAUCCUAGAGGUAGACCACUGGUACCCUAGUACACCGAGUUCGUCUUCGAGGAAGGUGGAUCUAUUUCAAGGACAAUGUUUGUCAUGCCUCAAUCGAUGAGUUUUUCUUCUUAUUAAUUUUGUUCUUUGUUUGUGUCUUUUAGGCUAAUCAUUUGUUUUCAUACCCUUAAAACCAAUAGUAGCAAGGCAUUUUCCAAUCUUAUUCCCUUACUUAUCACUUUUGAAAACAUCUAAACUUGGAUCUUAAACGGUCUCCACUUGUUCUAUCUCCUAACUUGAAAGAGGCAUAUGUUGUUCCUAACUAACCUAUUUAAGAUAUGUAACAACGAUUACCAUUGAAGCCCUAUUAUAAUCCACCUCUUUCAAGCUAGUUAGUUGACCUUAUUCCCUUUAGUAUAUGACUCCUACCAUCAUAUGCUCUUCAAUGGCCACAUUAAUAAUGCCUAUGAGCAUCUUUGUCACUUCAUCCAACCCCUUUGUGCCCAUAGAGCAGGCCAUAACCUUCAUCUUCAUGAAUUCCUUAAUUCUUUAAGAUGACUACUCUCUUUCACCACAGGUUUGUUAGCACAGAUAAAUGUUUUGUCUACAUUAAUUUAAUCCAAGAUUGUUCACACCAUGUAUAAGAUGUCACAUGUUAUAUCCAUCAAUUCUAUUAACGUGCAACAGGGCAUUACAACCCUAUCUCUAAAGAGAUCCUAGCCCACUUGUAAAAUAGUGAUAGCAUAAUGAUAGACAAUAUUGUCUACCUCAAAAGUAAAAAAAUUCCAACCUUUUCUAAGAUUUAAAAUAGCUCACUAAGUGAUUUCUACCUGAACACUUUUGUCUUUAUCUUGGUUAAGAACAAGAUUUAACACUACAAUGCAAAGCCCUUGUAAAGGUAACUUUGGGAUGAAUUUUGUUGAGAUUGUAUGCUCUAAAAACUACUAUAUUUGGCAUUUUAUCUUGCCAAUAAUUUUUUUUAUUAUGAAUCUUAUCAUAUAUCUUGGAUAAUUUGUAUCUAUUUUUAUGCAUGAUUAAUGUAUUAAUGUAUCCAAGUUUUAAAUUGUAGAUACAAUGAUGCAUAACAUUGGAUGUGCAUAGUGUUGAGGAUCCUCUGCCUUAAUCUAAGGCCUUCCAUAUGUGCAUCCAUUGACCCUCAAUCAUAGGAGCUUGUUUAGCUAAUUCUUUCCAUUUAUUUUAUAAUCAAUCUUUAUGUGUAAUUAAGUUGUUAUACAAUUUGUGAAUGAUUAUAUAUAUGAAAGACUCUCACCACAAAAAGGUGUGGUGGUUUUCAAACAUUCUCAUGGUAUCAGAGUAUACUUGGAUUAACAUCCCACGAUCCCCAAUGGCCUCUGAUUCUUCUUCCACCCUCCUUCCCUUCAACACCAUGAUUCACAUGGGUACUAUCAAACUCUCAUCCUCUAACUAUCUCUUAUGGAAAAGCUAACUUCUUCCCUUUCUCGAGAGCCAAGGUCUGCUGGGUCAUGUGGACGGUUCUCUUGAGCCGCCACCUCCAUUUGAUCCUCCCACCUCUCAGACACCAAAUACCAAACACUUGGCAUGGAAAGCCAUUGAUCAGAGCCUAUUGACUAUUCCCCUCGCUUCUGGUUUGAUGCCUUUAGCACUACAGCUUAUAUCAUCAACUGAUUUCCCGCACCACUUCUUGGAGGUAAGUCCCCUUUUGAGCUUCUAUAUAGUUCCUCUCCAAAUUAUGAAAAUUUUCAUCCAUUUGGUUGUUGUGUUUAUCCUUGUUUACGUGAUUAUAUGCCUAAAAAAUUUCCUCCCCGUAGCAUUCCUUGCAUUUUUUGGGUUACAGCUCCUCUUACAAAGGGUUUCAUUGUCUUGAUCCUACCACUUCUAGGCUAUAUAUCACCCGCUAUGCUCAAUUUGAUGAGACUCACUUUCCCUUUCUCACUACCUCUCAGGCUCAACCCCUAUCCUCCCUCUAAUUCUCAAAUUUUCUGGAACCCAGUAUUCCCCCUCCAGUCAUGCUACCAUAUUCUCUUAUGCCUCAUUCCCGGCAUAUUACACAAUCUGGAUCUACCCCAUGUAGUAUUUGUACUAAUCCAGUGGAUGAGCCUUUGCAGGUUAAUGAUUCUCUUAUAGGUCCAUCUCUGCCACACUUAGAUCCUAGUCUUGCUUCUCUUGAGCUCACCACCGAGCUACCUACCCUUGCUCCUAUUGUGGCUGCUUCGAUGGCUUCUUAUCCCAUGAUUACACGAGCCAAAAUUGGUAUUUUCAAAAAUCGUCAUCCGGCAAAUCUUACUCUCUUGGGAUCCUCCGGUCUUCUCUCUACUCUACUUGCAUCCACUAAGCCCAAAUGAUUCAAAUCUAUUGCUAAGAAUCCUGUUUGGCUAACCGCUAUGGAUGAAGAAGUUCAAGCCCUGCAAACUAAUCGUACCUGGAUUUUGGUUCAUCACCUUACCAAUACCAACAUUGUGGGUUCCAAAUGGGUGUUUCAGACCAAAUACUUGCCUGAUGGAUCAAUUGAGCUUCUCAAAGCUCGCCUUGUUGCCAAAGGCUAUACACAGGUACCUGGUCUCAACUACACUGACACUUUUAGUCCUGUUAUCAAGGCUACAACUA